rfam:Triticum aestivum genome assembly, contig: Triticum_aestivum_CS42_TGACv1_scaffold_433367_5DL
AUAUUACUUCCUCCGUCUGAAAAUACUUGUCAUAAAAAAUGAAUAAAAAAAGAUGUAUCUUAAACUAAAAUACGUCUAGAUGCAUCCCUUUUAUUCAUUUUGAUGACAAGUAUUUUCGAAUGAAGGGUGUAUUAC